GAAACUUGCUCUUAUGUACAGUUUGAAGCUUAAGGUUCUGUAAUGAACACAUGAGGGAGCUGUGUGGCCUGAAAUGACUUAGAGCUUUAAAAAUGUACAGUGCUGCCAUUUCAGUGGGGAAAGAAAGCAAGAACAUUCACAAUUCAUGGGAGGUGACAUUUACUUCUGUACACUUGGCCAGCUCAAGCCACCAAAAGAAGGAGGACUGCUGAAAAAUAAGGGCCUGGCAGAAUAAACUAUACCUGCAUCCUGAUUAGCUGACUGACACUGCUAAUAUGGUGGGCUCCCAUCUAGGCAGAGUGACAUCAAAUCAACAUUUGACACUGGUUCUUGUUCUUUGGCUCAAAUCAUCAGGAAGCUGUACAUCUCUGUUGAGCAAAAGUUGAUCAGGUUAUAUUUAAUUGUUUGCUCUGAAAAUGCAAACUUCUGCUGCCCACCAAUCAGAAGAGAGAAGCAUUACCAAGUAUUGAAUACUGGUUUUCCAAAAGAGGUGUCAUCUUCUACCCAACAAAAUAAAGCCCACAGACACCAGGCACACCACUGUGGGACAUCAGAAGAUAAAAGAUAUUGUUGGUUGAUUCCCCCUACACCUAGGAAAAGGAGACACAUAAAAGAACUCAGCCUCUUAACUUGAACUCUGGAGGAAAGGAAUAAAAAUCCCUGAAAAAGAAGAAACUCUUAUUUCUUGUGCUGCUUGGACUUCAAGAGGCAAAGAUUUCCAAACAUAUGAAAGGGAGCCCUGCUGCUUACCCUAGGUUAUCCCUAAAGUACACAUGGAGCUUGCAUAUCACAGUAAUCUGAAUAGUGUUGUGAUUUUUGGUUGAAGGGGCCAUCUGUCACAAAGGUAAUCUUACGUGGGGGGUCCAGGAAGGCUAUGUCUAGACUGCUAAGAAAAGUCAUAAAAAGAUAUGUGAAUCGCAAUUUGCGUAUCUUUUUCUGCUA